GGGAAGUAGUUCAAUUGGUAGAGCAGCGGUCUCCAAAACCGCAAGGUGGGGGUUCGAGUCCCUCCUGGCCUGCCA
rnacentral:tRNA from 1 species